rnacentral:rRNA from 1 species
GAUGAACGCUGGCGGCGUGCUUAACACAUGCAAGUCGAACGAUGAAGCCCAGCUUGCUGGGUGGAUUAGUGGCGAACGGGUGAGUAACACGUGAGUAACCUGCCCUUGACUCUGGGAUAAGCCCGGGAAACUGGGUCUAAUACCGGAUAGGAGCGCCUGUCGCAUGACGGGUGUUGGAAAGAUUUUUCGGUCAUGGAUGGACUCGCGGCCUAUCAGCUUGUUGGUGAGGUAAUGGCUCACCAAGGCGACGACGGGUAGCCGGCCUGAGAGGGUGACCGGCCACACUGGGACUGAGACACGGCCCAGACUCCUACGGGAGGCAGCAGUGGGGAAUAUUGCACAAUGGGCGGAAGCCUGAUGCAGCGACGCCGCGUGAGGGAUGACGGCCUUCGGGUUGUAAACCUUCUUUUCAAGUAAGGGAAAGAAAGCGAAAAGUGAACCGGUAAC